rnacentral:lncRNA from 1 species
CUGAAUCAGAUGUGUUAGUUAAUGUGCGUGCAUGGCAGACGAGAAAGGGCUUGUUAAAUCUUUACAAGUGUGUACAUUUUGCCAAAUAAUCGACCAAGUCAGCAUAAUAAAACACGCCUCUGAGAUAGAAAAAAAUACCAUAUACAUGCCUAUCAUUUCCCUUAUCCAUUUCAGAAACACACACACGCACCAUCACCAAACCAAAUCGAAAUCCGAACCCUAAAUUCCCAAAUUGAACUCGACAGUCCACUUACUGCAAUCCAUACCUACAGCCGGAAAUCAAGGUAGUUUUCCUCCACUUAAAAUUCACACAACUUUUGAUUCUCAUAUUUCAAACCCUUACCUACUGAUUGAAAACUCGCUCCUCCCAAAUUCGGUUGCUCCCAGACAGCACGAAGCAAUCCCAAAGAUCGCUCAAAAUAAAAAGGUAAUUUUUCUUCCUGUUUGUUCGUGAAUUGAUACGAGUGGUUGGUAAGAGGUGCUUUUUGUUUCCCUAAGUAGUAGCGUGAAUCAAUUUUUC